rnacentral:rRNA from 1 species
UCGGCUUCGGUCGGUCGGGUAUCUUGGACCUUUGGUUCUUCGGAAUUGAGGGGAGCAAUCUCUUUCUCGUUCGAGUGUGUUGGAGGCGGUUAACGCCGUUUUCUGGCAUGCGAGAGUUCCUUGGGUUAUGGCGCUUCUGCCCUUUAUUGGGUGGUAGUGUUGUGCCUAAGAUUUUACUUUGAGAAAAUUAGAGUGUCCAAAGCAGGCCAUUGGCUUUGCCUUAUUGCCGUGAAUACGUUAGCAUGGAAUAAUGGAAUAGGGCUGUUGCUCUAUUUUUUGUUGGUUUUUGGAGGGCGAUAGCAAUGAUUAAAAGGGACGGUUGGGGUGAUUAGUACUUCAUAGUCAGAGGUGAAAUUCUGGGAUUUAUGGAAGACUAACAUAUGCGAAAGCAUUUCACAAGGAUGUUUUCAUUAAUCAAGAGCGAAAGUUCGGGGUUCAAAGAUGAUCAGAUACCGUCGUAGUCCGAACCAUAAACUAUGCCGACUGGGGAUUGGGGGACGUACAAUUUUAUGAUGACUCCUUCAGCACCCUAUGAGAAAUCUUUGAGUUUUUGGGUUCCGGGGGGAGUACGGUCGCAAGGCUGAAACUUAAAGGAAUUGACGGAAGGGCACAACCAGGAGUGGAGCUUGCGGCUUAAUUUAACUCAACGCAGGAAAACUUACCAGAGCCAGACACGGUUAGGAUUGACAGAUUGAGAGCUCUUUCUUGAUUCCGUGAAAGGUGGUGCAUGGCCGUUCUUAGUUCGUGGAUUGAUUUGUCUGCUCAAUUGCGUUAACGAACGAGACCUUCGCCUACUAAAUAGUUAUAUCAAGGUUUUGACUGAAUGGCAUUGCCGUUUGUUUUAACGUUGAUAGACAACUUCUUAGAGGGACUACUGGCGUUUAGCCAGAGGAAGCGGGAGGCAAUAACAGGUCUGUGAUGCCCUUCGAUGUUCUGGGCCGCACGCGCGCUACAAUGAUGAGGGCAACGAGCUUAAAUAGCUUUAUGCUAAAUACCUGUUCCGAAAGGAUUGGGUGAUCUUUUGAAACCUCAUCGUGCUGGGGAUAGAUUAUUGCAAUUAUUAAUCUUGAACGAGGAAUUCCUAGUAAGCGUGAGUCAUCACCUCGCGCUGAUUUCGUCCCUGCCCUUUGUACACACCGCCCGUCGCUCCUACCGAUCGAAUCAUUCGGUGAAGACUCCGGACUCUGCG